GGGAAUAUUGGGCAAUGGGCGAGAGCCUGACCCAGCCAUGCCGCGUGCAGGAAGAAGGCCUUCUGGGUUGUAAACUGCUUUUAUCUGGGAAGAAAACGCCCCUGCGGGGGUCACUGACGGUACCAGAUGAAUAAGCACCAGCUAACUCCGUGCCAGCAGCCGCGGUAAUACGGAGGGUGCAAGCGUUGUCCGGAUUUAUUGGGUUUAAAGGGUGCGUAGGCGGCCCGUUAAGUCAGCGGUGAAAUCCCACGGCUCAACCGUGGAACUGCCGUUGAUACUGGCGGGCUUGAGUUCGGUCGAGGCGGGCGGAACUGGUGGUGUAGCGGUGAAAUGCAUAGAUACCACCAAGAACCCCGAUUGCGUAGGCAGCUCGCUGGGCCGAAACUGACGCUGAGGCACGAAAGCGUGGGGAGCGAA
rnacentral:rRNA from 1 species